UGCGUAGGCCGGAGAUUAAGCGUGUUGCGAAAUGUAGAUGCUCAACAUCUGCACUGCAGCGCGAACUGGUUUCCUUGAGUACGCACAAAGUGGGCGGAAUUCGUGGUGUAGCGGUGAAAUGCUUAGAUAUCACGAAGAACUCCGAUUGCGAAGGCAGCUCACUGGAGCGCAACUGACGCUGAAGCUCGAAAGUGCGGGUAUCGAACA
rnacentral:rRNA from 1 species